rnacentral:rRNA from 1 species
GACGUAGGGCGCGAGCGUUGUCCGGAUUUAUUGGGCGUAAAGAGCUCGUAGGCGGCUUGUCGCGUCGACUGUGAAAACUUGGGGCUCAACCCCAAGCCUGCGGUCGAUACGGGCAGGCUCGAGUUCGGUAGGGGAGACUGGAAUUCCUGGUGUAGCGGUGAAAUGCGCAGAUAUCAGGAGGAACACCGAUGGCGAAGGCGGGUCUCUGGGCCGAUACUGACGCUGAGGAGCGAAAGCGUGGGGAGCGAACAGG